rnacentral:rRNA from 1 species
AUUGAACGCUGGCGGCAUGCCUUACACAUGCAAGUCGAACGGCAGCACGGGAGCAAUCCUGGUGGCGAGUGGCGAACGGGUGAGUAAUAUAUCGGAACGUGCCCAGUCGUGGGGGAUAACGUAGCGAAAGCUACGCUAAUACCGCAUACGAUCUAUGGAUGAAAGCGGGGGAUCGCAAGACCUCGCGCGAUUGGAGCGGCCGAUAUCAGAUUAGCUAGUUGGUGAGGUAAAGGCUCACCAAGGCGACGAUCUGUAGCGGGUCUGAGAGGAUGAUCCGCCACACUGGAACUGAGACACGGUCCAGACUCCUACGGGAGGCAGCAGUGGGGAAUUUUGGACAAUGGGCGCAAGCCUGAUCCAGCCAUGCCGCGUGAGUGAAGAAGGCCUCGGUUGUAAG